CAUUUUUAAUUUCUGAAACAAACACACCCCAAAGUUCUUGGGCCAAGUCCGGCCCAACCCGUUCUCACCUAUUCCCUAUGCUCUCUCCUUUCGAUCGGAGCACUAAGGCCGACCGUCGUGCCGGCAAUCGCCCACGGCAUUGGCGGUCAUCGUCCCUGAGUUAAAACGGACACCCUCCCCCAUUAACUCUUACCUUAUAAACUCAGAUAUACUAUCGGUUUCCCCUAAUUCUGAGCCUAAAUCCUCCAAAUCGAACCAAAUCUCAAACCCUAACUUUUAGUAAAAACUAAAUUAAACGCUAUUCCUGAAGCCAAUUUGCAAAUCAUCUUGGGGCUACGAUUAUAUACACAGAUACACACGAUAUGGCAUGAAAAAAACGUGAAGAGAAUGAUUCAAAGUACCUGGCUCGACGGUGCCGGCGAGUCUCUUCGGCUUUGGCAGCUUUGGUAUUUGAACAUGGUCACUGUUUGUUUGCUUCUACUUCUGUUGUAGUUGAUGUCGUCAAUUAAAGGCUUGUUAUGUUAAGCAACACUUGUUGAGAUGAGAAAAUGCCUCUAUCUCUUGGACUUGAUCCAGUUUACAAGUUAUGAAUGAGGAAGUUCAAGAGCAAGUUUCUUAAUAGACUUUUAUUUGUAGUGCACAAAAGUGUUGUAAUUAAUUCAAUAAAAAUUACAAGUUGUGUUCUAAAAUGACAAUGGUGAAAGUGAGUAAAUGCUAAUAAAUGCAUGUAAUAAAGUCUCACAUUAAAAGAUUCACUCACUUUGAAAGUCUUUAUAAAGAGUUAAUAUCAUUAACUCAACAAAAAGACAAAAGAGGAUAAAGUGUCACACCCACAAAUGUGGUUAGGGGUGGACAUCGGUUCGGACCGGAUCGGGUUCGGGCCCAAAACCUCAAUCCGGCCCAACCCUCGGGUGACAUAUAAUGGCCCAAUUCCGACCAUUUUUAAUUUCGGUUUUUUUCGGGUUCGGUUAAAAUCGGUUCGGUUUAUUAUAUCGGUUUUUUUCGGUUAGGCAGUUAUUGGAUCAUAUCAAUUUUAAACCCAAAUUUAAAAUAGUCAAUUUUUUUUAUAUAUUCAGCUAAUUAAUUAAUGGGCUAGUAUAAAUUAUGGCCCAACUUAAAUCUUUGAUUUCUUAUAUCCAUUUUAAAAUUUAGAAAUUAAAUGAUUUUUGUUCAGUUUUUAAUUACAAAAAAAAUUAAGUUAU